rnacentral:rRNA from 1 species
CAGUCGCCGCGGUAAUACGAAGGGUGCAAGCGUUAAUCGGAAUUACUGGGCGUAAAGCGUGCGUAGGCGGUUUGUUAAGUCUGUUGUGAAAUCCCCGGGCUCAACCUGGGAAUGGCAAUGGAUACUGGCAAGCUAGAGUGUGUCAGAGGAUGGUGGAAUUCCCGGUGUAGCGGUGAAAUGCGUAGAGAUCGGGAGGAACAUCAGUGGCGAAGGCGGCCAUCUGGGACAACACUGACGCUGAGGUGCGAAAGCGUGGGGAGCAAACAGGAUUAGAUACCCCGGUAGUCCCUGUCUCUUAUAC